rnacentral:rRNA from 1 species
AACGAACGCUGGCGGCAUGCCUAACACAUGCAAGUCGAACGAGACCUUCGGGUCUAGUGGCUCACGGGUGCGUCACGCGUGGGAACCUGCCCUUAGGUUCGGAAUAACUCCCCGAAAGGGGUGCUAAUACCGGAUAAUGUCUUCGGACCAAAGAUUUAUCGCGUUUGUAUGGGCCCGCGUUGGAUUAGCUGGUUGGUAGGGUAAAAGCCUACCAAGGCGACGAUCCAUAGCUGGUCUGAGAGGAUGAGCAGCCACACUGGGACUGAGACACGGCCCAGACUCCUACGGGAGGCAGCAGUGGGGAAUAUUGGACAAUGGGCGAAAGCCUGAUCCAGCAAUGCCGGGUGAGUGAUGAAGGCCUUAGGGUUGUAAAGCUCUUUUACCCGGGAUGAUAAUGACAGUACCGGGAGAAUAAGCUCCGGCUAACUCCGUG